rnacentral:rRNA from 1 species
GGGGGGGGGGGGCGGGGGGGGGAGGGGGGGGGAGGCGAGCGGGGGCGGCGGGGCUGGUGGCGCGGGGGUGCGUGACGCGUGGGAACCUGCCCUUAGGUUCGGGAUAACUCCCCGAAAGGGGUGCUAAUACCGGAUAAUGUCUUCGGACCAAAGAUUUAUCGCCUUUGGAUGGGCCCGCGUUGGAUUAGCUAGUUGGUAGGGUAAAAGCCUACCAAGGCGACGAUCCAUAGCUGGUCUGAGAGGAUGAUCAGCCACACUGGGACUGAGACACGGCCCAGACUCCUACGGGAGGCAGCAGUGGGGAAUAUUGGACAAUGGGCGAAAGCCUGAUCCAGCAAUGCCGCGUGAGUGAUGAAGGCCUUAGGGUUGUAAAGCUCUUUUACCCGGGAUGAUAAUGACAGUACCGGGAGAAUAAGCUCCGGCUAACUCCGUG